UACGUAGGGUGCAAGCGUUUAAUCGGAAUUACUGGGCGUAAAGCGUGCGCAGGCGGUUUUGUAAGUCUGUCGUGAAAUCCCCGGGCUCAACCUGGGAAUUGCGAUGGAGACUGCAAGGCUAGAAUCUGGCAGAGGGGGGGUAGAAUUCCACGUGUAGCAGUGAAAUGCGUAGAGAUGUGGAGGAACACCGAUGGCGAAGGCAGCCCCCCUGGGUCAAGAUUGACGCUCAUGCACGAAAGGCGUGGGG
rnacentral:rRNA from 1 species